CUUCAUGCUAAAGGACAUGAUAU
rnacentral:snRNA from 1 species